AGAAUGGUGGUGUAAUGGUAGCACGACAGUCUCCAAAACUGUAAAUCAUGGUUCGAUCCCAUGUCAUUCUG
rnacentral:tRNA from 1 species